rnacentral:rRNA from 1 species
UCGAGCGCACCUUCGGGUGAGCGGCGGACGGGUUAGUAACGCGUGGGAACGUACCCUUUUCUACGGAAUAGCCUUUGGAAACGAAGAGUAAUACCGUAUAUGCCCUUUGGGGGAAAGAUUUAUCGGAGAAGGAUCGGCCCGCGUUAGAUUAGAUAGUUGGUGGGGUAACGGCCUACCAAGUCUACGAUCUAUAGCUGGUUUUAGAGGAUGAUCAGCAACACUGGGACUGAGACACGGCCCAGACUCCUACGGGAGGCAGCAGUGGGGAAUCUUAGACAAUGGGCGCAAGCCUGAUCUAGCCAUGCCGCGUGAGUGAUGAAGGCCUUAGGGUCGUAAAGCUCUUUCGCCUGUGAUGAUAAUGACAGUAGCAGGUAAAGAAACCCCGGCUAACUCCGUGCCAGCAGCCGCGGUAAUACGGAGGGGGUUAGCGUUGUUCGGAAUUACUGGGCGUAAAGCGCACGUAGGCGGAUUGGAAAGUUGGGGGUGAAAUCCCGGGGCUCAACCCCGGAACUGCCUCCAAAACUAUCAGUCUAGAGUUCGAGAGAGGUGAGUGGAAUUCCAAGUGUAGAGGUGAAAUUCGUAGAUAUUUGGAGGAACACCAGUGGCGAAGGCGGCUCACUGGCUCGAUACUGACGCUGAGGUGCGAAAGUGUGGGGAGCAAACAGGAUUAGAU